rnacentral:rRNA from 1 species
UACGGAGGGGGCUAGCGUUGUUCGGAAUUACUGGGCGUAAAGCGCGCGUAGGCGGACCUGCAAGUCGGGGGUGAAAGCCCGAGGCUCAACCUCGGAACUGCCUUCGAUACUGCGGGUCUCGAGUCCGGGAGAGGCGAGUGGAAUUCCUGGUGUAGCGGUGAAAUGCGCAGAUAUCAGGAGGAACACCAAUUGCGAAGGCAGCUCGCUGGGACGUUACUGACGCUGAGACGCGAAAGCGUGGGGAGCAAACAGG